UCCCUGGUGGCUCAGAUGGUAAAGCGUCUGCCUACAAUGCGGGAGGCCCAGGUUCGAUCCCUGGGUUGGGAA
rnacentral:tRNA from 1 species